rnacentral:misc_RNA from 1 species
GAUGAAGAACGCAGCGAAAUGCGAAAAGUAAUGUGAAUUGCAGAAUUCAGUGAAUCAUCGAAUCUUUGAACGCACAUUGCGCCCGCUGGUACUCCGGCGGGCACGCCUGUCCGAGCGUCAUUUCAACCCUCAAGCCCUCCUUCGGGAUGGGCCUGGUGUUGGGGCUCGGCCGCCAUCUCCGGCGGCCGUCCCCUAAAUACAGUGGCGGUCACGUCGCGACUCCUUUGCGUAGUAGAAACACCUCGCUCCGGAUAGCAACGCGGUCCACGCCGUAAAACCACCAAUUUUCAAUGGUUGACCUCGGAUCAGGUGGGAAUACCCGCUGAACUUAAGCAUAUCAAUAAGCGAGGA